UCCCAUGUAGUCUAGUGGGUAGGAUUCCCGACUCUCACCCAGGUAGCCUGAGUUUGAUUCCCGGUGUGGGAA
rnacentral:tRNA from 1 species